UUCUUUUUUCCAAACCUCCACUUACCAAUACCAAUGAUCCACUCCACACAUCACGAAGGAUUUCCUGCUCUUCUAAGACACAGUGAUUUAGAAUUUCUGUUCAAGCAAGAGAACUAAAGACUUCUUUAAAGAAGAGAAGGGGCUUUUCUUUUUCUGGAAAAUCAGAUGAAUGAGGAUAUUCGAAAGUAAAGAAUCUCUGCAUUUUGACUAGAGAGAAUUUUCUACCAGGAUAGGAUAGCAUGAUCACAAUGGAUUAUAGUGCACACACACGUGCUUUCCCCAGUUUGGAAGUGAUUUGUUGGGGAGUUCUCUUGUUCUCAGGAAGUCUUAAUCCUUUCUGAUCAGCACUUACAUGUCAACCU
rnacentral:lncRNA from 1 species